rnacentral:lncRNA from 1 species
AAUUAAGUUUUUAGGUUAGGAGUUGAGUUUGAAGUAAUGAAUGCUGAAAGGAUGUUAGUUGAUUUUAAAUAUGUGUACUCAGAUAUGACCAAGGAUAAUUUCAGUUCUGGAGGAAGUGAUUCUAAAGUGGAAGAACCAGCUUCUAAGGUUGAAGAGAAUGGGACUUUUGAUAAAUAUAUCUCGGGUAAUUCAUCCGCUCUCUUCUUUUCUUUGUCAUUUUCACUC